GGUGUAGCGUUGAAUCGGGUAGAUAUCAUGAAGAUCAUCGGUGGCGAAGGCGGCUUCUUGGACUGAUACUGACGGUGAUGCGCGUAAGCGUGGGGAGCAAACAGUAUUAGAUACCGUGGUAGUCCACUCUGUAAGAGAUGCGUACUAGAUGUUGGGAUUUAUCUCGGUGCGGGAGCUAACGCAUUAAGUACGCAGCUUGGCGAGUAUGAUCGCAAGAUUGAAACUCAAAGGAAUUGACGGGGGCCCGCACAAGCGGUGGAGCAUGUGGUUUAAUUUGAUGCAACGCGAAGAACCUUACCUGGGCUUGAAAUGCACAUGAUAGACCCUGAAAGGGGUUUUUCCUUCGGGACAUGUGUAGAGGUGAUGCAUGGCUGUUUUCAGGUCGUCCCUCGAGGUGUUGGGUUAAGUCCAGCAACGAACGCAACCCUUGCCCUUAGUUGCCAGCAUUUAUGAUGGGGACUGUAAGGGGACUGCCCCGGAUAACGGGGAGGAAGGUGGGGAUGACGUCAAGUCAUCAUGGCCCUUUCGUCCAGGGGUACACACGUGUUUCAAUGGCCGGUACAGUGGGUAGCGAACCCGUGAGGCGGAGCCAAUCCUCAAAACCGGUCUCAGUUCGGAUUGCAGUCUGCAACUCGACUGCAUAAAGUCGGAAUCGUUAGUAAUCGCGGAUCAGCAUGCCGCGGUGAAUACGUUCCCGGGCCUUGUACA
rnacentral:rRNA from 1 species